rnacentral:tRNA from 1 species
CGGGGCGUGGCGCAGCCUGGUAGCGCGCCUGCUUUGGGAGCAGGAAGCCGUAGGUUCAAAUCCUAUCGCCCCGACCA